CCGCCCCCCCCCCCCGAGCCGCUCGCGUUGCCCCCAGCGGCGACUCGGGUGGACCGCCGCGGCGCCACCUACAGCACCUCCUCCUCCCGUCCAUCCACCUCGCCACCACCGGAAGCCCAUGCGGGUGCAAGGACGGCGGCGGUGAGGCCUUCAUCCACGCAUCCACCUCUCCCCCCGAGUUAUCAUCCCCCGAGUCAACUUCAACCAUGGCUGAGUGAGCUCCACGCGUGGAGCAGGUCCCGCGGGUCGCCGGCGACCAUAUUCGGCCCCUUCCCGACUGGAUCUAGCAUCUCCCUAGGUAGCUCCUCCGUUUUCAGCUGGAGACGCUCCAUCCCCAGGAAUCCUCUCAUGCCAUCGCCUUCACCGCCAUCGGGAAGCCGGCGCCGAGGUGGGGUGCUGGGCGGGGCUUCAGCGGGUCUGGAGUUUUCCCGAGCACCCCGCUCAGCUCCAUCAGUGGAGCCGGUCCAGCGGGUCACCGGCGGCCAGAAUUGGCUCCUUCCCGGCCGCCGGCGUCGACAACAACCACAACCACACCUUCCAACUCCACUUCCACUCCUAUCAAGAGAUCAAGAGGUCCAUGGUGAAGCAUUGCUUAGGUUAGUGCUUAGGAUAUGAAGAGAGUGAGAGAGGGGGGGGGGGAGUAGUCCUCAGCACUCUACUCCGGCCAUGUACCUAUACGGAUGCUAGAUUCCUUUGGUAUAAGCAAGUGAGUAUUCGUGAUUCUUCUAUGGUUUAGUGCUUUACUUAUAAAUGAGAUCAGUUUUCUUUUGUCACUUCAUAUUUAUUCGAAGUGCUGUAUAUCUGCUAUAGGUCGAUAGACGUAGUUAGAUUGCAGUAGUAAUUAGUAGCGUAGAUGUAGUGUUUAGGCUAAAAGUUAUCCUUCGUUUGCCUUAUAUCCCAUGGGUUGCUAGAGGUAGGCCGUAGAUGGUGACAGUCCUAUUGGUCCUUUGUAAUCCUCCAUAUUCGGAUAUAGCAUAGAGUCGUUAGCCGGAGGCUCCUGACUAAUUCAGGGUAAGCUGAUGCCCGAAGCGAGUAUCUUGAUCAAGAGAUCGACCUUUAACUUAUCCAUCACUGUCUAUAGAAAUCCUCUCUAUAUUUCACCCACCUUUGGUUGGUUGUCCUUGGUACUAGAGUCGUAGGUAUACGCAUACGUUCCCUUGGAUUCGAUACCCUUGGAAUACUUUGAGGUGAAAGUUACAACGGUAAACGUGUGCUUGCGGAUUCAUUCGCGUAUCGCUAAAAUACGCAACAGUGGUGAAAAGAUGGAGAUGGACCGAUCAAGUUACCAUAGUUCGGCACGUAUAGCGGGCUGGUCUGAUUUGAAAUGUGCCGGGCCUAGAUUUCUAAAGGAUAAUAGGCAUGCCGGAGUAUUUUUUUUCUUGGCCCGAUAAUAGAACCCGUUUGAUUUUUUUUUGUUUCAAAUGUUCUUGUUGACAAGUGAACAUGGUCUCACGUCUUACAAACACAGUUGUGAUUUCAAAGGGCAACUUGGGCAAUAGCAUGAUACCAAAUCGCCAUUGCUAAUCAUAUUAUAUUUUAUGAAGAAUAGCUUUCUCGGUAGCAAUAACUGGACAAGCACCCAAAUCCGGCCAAUGAUCAGUCAUUCAGUUGCGAUCACUAUCAGAUUUACGGAAACUGGAUUUCGCGCAUUGAGAUCAAGGCAGGCUGCUGACACAGGCCUUCAGAGCUCAUUCACCAUGCAGUAUCAAAAGCUACUUAUUACAGUUGCAUUCAUUUCAUUCAGAAAUUGUACGAGGAAUUCCACUCGACAAACCUCCAGCUCUACUACAGAAACCUCAGCGCCUCAAAUGGGUAGUCUGAGGAGCAGCUGAUAAACCUAUAAACAGAUGUCAACAUUGCCAGUAGCAGAUAUUGUCUUGCUCUUGCACCAUAUUGUCAAAACCAUCAGACAGGUGUUGCCAACUCAUGGCGAUGCUGCAUCACCUUGAGAAGUGCUAAAGAAUAUGUCAAGGGAGAGAAGACCUACCAAAAACAACAGUGUUAGAAUCAUCAAGAGGAGCACUAGAAUGUUUCUACUGUUUAUAGACGUGAACUUGAAAAUUAUAAUGUAGGGCUGCAGACUUGCGGCUAACUCGAUCCACUCAUUAAAAAAUUUUGCAUUCCUAAUACUCCGCAAAUCCAAGCACAAGCCUACAACACACGCUUUUAAAAUGAUACAUAGUUGUAAAGGGCAUAUACUCAUAAAACAUAUGUCAAGUUAAUCAGUAAGCUUUGAAGGAAGUGAACAAAAACAAGCAGAUAUCUCAUAGACACCACCAACAAGGACGAAUUCAUAUACAAUUAUAACCUCCAUAGAUUUACAUACAGAUACAUAAGCUUAUACUAUUACCGACUGACUUUCUCAUUCACUCUUAUCUGGUUGAGAGAAAAACUGAGGGCAUACACACAAUUAACAUAUUAGACGACAUGCCAAUGACCUAUUUUUAUUAAAACAUGAAAUUAGUAGCAAAUGUUUUAUCAGCUUUGAAAUAGUCCAACAGUAUCAUAACUUCACAAGUAAAAAUUGCUCCAGUCCAAUCCCUACGUUGACCAGCUAUCCAAUAUAGCACACAACAAAACAAAUCCAGGCAUGUCUCUAACAAUUAAACAGAAGAUGUCUCUAAUAAUUAAACAGAAGAUGUCUCUAACAAUAAAAUUUGGCUGCAACAACACAAAAGCACAUUGCAGGUUCAUACAGCACACCGACAACAUAAGUUACUAUCCAAUAUGGUGCAAGUGCAACAACACAAAAGCACAUUAAAGGAACAAGUAGCACGACACAUCACACCAACAACAUAAAUUACUGUCCAACAUGUGAAGGAAACAAGUAAGGUUCUUACCAUCACAUUUCAUAUGCUUGGCGGUGACAAUGGUGGUGGGAAGCUUGCAUACAAGUAAUCGUGACUAGUUUCAAAUUUCAACACACACAGCCUCUCAAACAGCAAUGUCUUGAGCUGCAGUGUGAAAUAUUGCGCAUCUGGUUUUUUCUCAGGAAAUUUACCGGAGUGGUAUUGAUCUCGUGGAAUCCCUCGUACGAGUACAUAGCCCUCGGAUGCACCUCCAUUUGAGAUGGACCAGUAACAGUUGGGCAAGGGAAUUGUAUUGUCGUGCCGCCACUCUUCUGUGCCAACACCAUUGUCUUGCCUAGUCUUACUAUAGAGGUGGAACUCAAAAUCAUGAAGAAUUAGCAAACCAAGCCUGCCAUCUGCUGCCCCCACAAUGCUUUUAUCUUUCCCUUUGCUUUCAGGGGGGAGGUCAACCACGGAGAAAUUCAUUUCAAGCGUGUCCAGCACGAGCAUAACCCUCUGACAAUAAUCUGUCCAGUAGAAGCAGCUGUGCGCGCAAUGACAAUUCAUCAAUAUAGGGUGUCUUAUCCAUUCAUGGGUUCCAAUGCUAAAAGAUGCGACGGCUUGCCACAUUCCGGUGACUAAAGAGAAGACAAAGGUCACAACCUUGACUUUGGACAUCACAUUGCAGAACACACGGAGUGAUGAUUCAUCCUCCUCCUCCCAGGCAGCUGGAGCGAGGAAGGGCUCGAAAUAGGUCUCGUAGAGCCGGCUGCCAGGGUGCCGUGUAAACGCCGCUAGGUCGCCGGGGAUGGGCGGGAUCUGGACGUACUGGCGGUGCAAGGGGUCGUAGACCAUGAAGUCGUCGAGGAUGACCCAUGAAGCGGCAGUCCGGGCGAGGAGGACGCGGGCGUCGCGGACGCGCCAGCGCCUGGGGUCGGGGAGGAAGGAGAAGGUGAAGUCGGUGGCUCGCGCAAGGGCGCGAGCGGCCGGGGCCGAGCGGCGCGUCGGCUGCGCCUGGUAGAAUUCCGUGUCAUCAUCGCCACAAUCGAGGAAACCGAGGACGGUCGGUUGGGCGGUGGAGGGACCUGAAUCGGCGGAGGAAGCUGCCCGCGGAGACGAUGCGGCGGCAGGAGGCGCAGGAGGCGGAGGCGCAGGAGAGGUCGGCGGAUUCGUCGAGGCGGAGAAAGAUGUCCUCGAGGAGCUCGUCGGGGAGUGGCGGCUGCGCCGCCGGGGGCGCCGCCAAGGGCAUUGCGUGGUCGGGCGGCGGCGGGUGGGGGAUGCCGGGGAGGAGAGGAUGGUUUCGAC
rnacentral:lncRNA from 1 species